rnacentral:tRNA from 1 species
GGUCCCGUAGCUCAGCUGGAUAGAGCAGCUGCCUUCUAAGCAGCGGGUCGAGGGUUCGAGUCCUUCCGGGAUCGCCA